rnacentral:rRNA from 1 species
AGGCUUAACACAUGCAAGUCGAACGGUAGCAGAAAAAGCUUGCUUUUUGCUGACGAGUGGCGAACGGGUGCGUAACGCGUAUGCAACCUACCUUCUUCAGAGGAAUAGCCCAGAGAAAUUUGGAAUAAUACCUCAUAAUAAUAUUUUUUCGCAUGUUAAAAUAUUUAAAGCUCCGGCGGAAGAAGAUGGGCAUGCGUAACAUUAGUUUGUUGGUGAGGUAAUGGCUCACCAAGACUACGAUGUUUAGGGGGUCUGAGAGGAUGAUCCCCCACACUGGUACUGAGACACGGACCAGACUCCUACGGGAGGCAGCAGUGAGGAAUAUUGGUCAAUGGACGAAAGUCUGAACCAGCCAUGCCGCGUGAAGGAUGACUGCCCUAUGGGUUGUAAACUUCUUUUGUAUAGGAAGAAACCCCUCUACGUGUAGAGGGCUGACGGUACUAUUCGAAUAAGCACCGGCUAACUCCGUGCCAGCAGCCGCGGUAAUACGGAGGGUGCGAGCGUUAUCCGGAAUUAUUGGGUUUAAAGGGUGCGUAGGCGGAAAUUUAAGUCAGUGGUGAAAGCCUACAGCUUAACUGUAGAAUUGCCAUUGAAACUGAAUUUCUUGAAUCUAAUUGAAGUAGGCGGAAUAUGACAUGUAGCGGUGAAAUGCUUAGAUAUG